rnacentral:rRNA from 1 species
UGAAAUGACGAGCUUGCUCUGAUUUGGAUUUUUAUGAUUUCAAAGAGUGGCGAACGGGUGAGUAACACGUGGGUAACCUACCUCUUAGCAGGGGAUAACAUUUGGAAACAAGUGCUAAUACCGUAUAAUACCAACAACCGCAUGGUUGUUGGUUGAAAGAUGGUUCUGCUAUCACUAAGAGAUGGACCCGCGGUGCAUUAGCUAGUUGGUGAGGUAAUGGCUUACCAAGGCAAUGAUGCAUAGCCGAGUUGAGAGACUGAUCGGCCACAAUGGGACUGAGACACGGCCCAUACUCCUACGGGAGGCAGCAGUAGGGAAUCUUCCACAAUGGGCGCAAGCCUGAUGGAGCAACGCCGCGUGUGUGAUGAAGGGUUUCGGCUCGUAAAACACUGUUAUAAGGGAAGAACGGCACUGAGAGUAACUGUUCAGUGUGUGACGGUAUCUUACCAGAAAGGAACGGCUAAAUACGUGCCAGCAGCCGCGGUAAUACGUAUGUUCCAAGCGUUAUCCGGAUUUAUUGGGCGUAAAGCGAGCGCAGACGGUUAUUUAAGUCUGAAGUGAAAGCCCUCAGCUCAACUGAGGAAUUGCUUUGGAAACUGGAUGACUUGAGUGCAGUAGAGGAAAGUGGAACUCCAUGUGUAGCGGUGAAAUGUGUAGAUAUAUGGAAGAACACCAGUGGCGAAGGCGGCUUUCUGGACUGUAACUGACGUUGAGGCUCGAAAGUGUGGGUAGCAAACAGGAUUAGAUACCCUGGUAGUCCACACCGUAAACGAUGAGUGCUAGAUGUUCGAGGGUUUCCGCCCUUGAGUGUCGCAGCU